rnacentral:ncRNA from 1 species
CUGAGUGAAAAAGCUCAGAUAAUUUUGAAGGACGAUCAGACCCUUUGGAGCUUUAUUUACUUUAAAAAUUUGAAUUUGUUUUAAUUGAUUGAAUGGAAAGUAAAUUUUGUUGGGGCGACAGGGAGUAAAAUAUAACACUCUUUUUUUAAAACAAUCCUAAUUGGAAAAUUGAUCCUUAGAGUGAGAUUACAAGACUAAGUUACCCUAGGGAUAACAGCGUAAUCUUUUUGGAGAGUUCAAAUCGAUAAAAAGGUUUGCGACCUCGAUGUUGGAUUAAGAGAUUGGCAAGGUGCAGAAGUUUUGCUGGAAAGUCUGUUCGACUUUUAAUCUCUUACAUGAUCUGAGUUCAAACCGGCGUAAGCCAGGUUGGUUUCUAUCCUCAAAAUU